rnacentral:lncRNA from 1 species
UGAUGCGAUGCUAGAAGUAAAAUAGAUGAUAUUACUAGGGUAUCAUCCCACAAAUGCAUACAAGUAGUACAAUCCAAGAACUAAAUUGUAGAAAAACAUUAACAUAAAACAGCAUACAAGUAGUACAAUCCAAGAACUAAAUUGUAGAAAAACAUUAGAGGAAAUAAAUUGUUCAUUUUAAACAUAAAACAGCAUACAAGUAGUACAAUCCAAGAACUAAAUUGUAGAAAAACAUUAGAGGAAAUAAAACAGCAGAGAUCCAAUACAAGAAGAAGACAUGAUCCAUGAACUUGUGUGACUUUCAUGACUUUAACCAAACCAAUUAGAGGUUAACAAUGGUGGGCUUAAAGUCAA